rnacentral:rRNA from 1 species
AGUGAACGCUGGCGGUAGGCCUAACACAUGCAAGUCGAACGGCAGCACAGGAGAGCUUGCUCUCUGGGUGGCGAGUGGCGGACGGGUGAGGAAUACAUCGGAAUCUACUUUUUCGUGGGGGAUAACGUAGGGAAACUUACGCUAAUACCGCAUACGACCUACGGGUGAAAGCAGGGGACCUUCGGGCCUUGCGCGAUUGAAUGAGCCGAUGUCGGAUUAGCUAGUUGGCGGGGUAAAGGCCCACCAAGGCGACGAUCCGUAGCUGGUCUGAGAGGAUGAUCAGCCACACGGGAACUGAGACACGGUCCAGACUCCGACGGGAGGCAGCAGUGGGGAAUAUUGGACAAUGGGCGCAAGCCUGAUCCAGCCAUACCGCGUGGGUGAAGAAGGCCUUCGGGUUGUAAAGCCCUUUUGUUGGGAAAGAAAUCCAGCUGGCUAAUACCCGGUUGGGAUGACGGUACCCAAAGAAUAAGCACCGGCUAACUUCGUGCCAGCAGCCGCCGUAA